GGUUGUCCGGCAGGGCAACGCCGGGCAGCCACGCCGGGGGGGAUAAGGGCUGAAAGCAUCUAAGCCCGAAGCCCCUCCCGAGACCAGGCGGCCACUCCCGGCCAUUGGGGG
rnacentral:rRNA from 1 species